CGCGAAUCCGUCGAAGGUCGUCACGACAGCCAACGGAGUUUGGAUUCUUAUUUGGCUGGACGCUGCGUCGGUCUCGCGGCUCUUCAUUCCGCAUAACCAAUAAAAUUUCGCUGGCAACACCACCGUGAAAUUUCAAAAACUUCAUACCCCCCUUCCCCAUUCCGACAUCUCGUUGACGCACUUUAGUACAGUACACAACAACAGUACAGUCUUUUUGAACCGUAUUUGGAUACGAGGAAUGCGACUCGUAAUAAAGGAACUGUUGUACCGAACUUCUGAGGCGAUAAAUAUUAGACUUUGCAAUUAGGUUCGAACCAACUUACAGUAUAAUUGAUCCCAUCACUAACGGCAUCACUCAACAACGAUGAUCUAAAUUAAUCUCCACUAAUAAAUCGAGCUGACAAGCCUCUGAUUACGAAGCUGCGAACGAACUGAUGCAUUCCUCUCAAGAAAAUGGUCGAUUGGUCCACGGAAAGCGGCUCUUUUACACAGCCCCGAGUCCAAUUGGCCGGAACGAAUUGAACUUGUGCCAGGGUCGCGUUGAGGUGAAUAAAAAGAAGACGAGGAAACCAAAGACGCCUGGUGCGCGGCAGAAUACCCGAGGGCGUUUUCUUUCACUUUCUUUUCGUUCCUCGAACCCACAGCACCCGCAAUAUUCUCGAAUUCCGCGACGCUCACGCGCUCCCACCUUAUUCCAAGUUUUCAUCUUGGUUUAUGUCGGCACGUGGCAUUGGUAUCGCGGCAGCCGCGUAUUAAUUAAAUUCGGAACGCGACAUCGCGGCGUAGUAUUUCGAAUAUCUUGUACACCAGUGUCUUGAGCCGGGAACUCAUGGCUUUCCUUCUAAUUCACAAAUCCGUUCCACCUACGUACCUCACUUCACUGUCGUAAUACAAUAAAGUUUCCCCUAUCGGAACUAUAUAACAGGAAGACGAAAAUGUUCAGAUAAUAGAACACCCACCUUCUUGAUAUUACAUUUCAUUUAUUCAUGUAAAGAACAAGAAACUUGCCCGCUUUCUUUAUUAUCUAGAGAUAUCAUAUUUUUUAGCCGUUGAACUACAUAAAUUUUCGUGAUGAGAAGAUACAUUCUCAUUAUUUUCACUUAGGUCCCGUUCAGAGAGCGACUUUUUGACGCUGCGUUCACGCUGCGUCAUAUAUUUGUCAUUGUCGGUUCUAACUGGGGAAACAAAGAAAGACAUAUGACACAGGGAUAACGCAGAGUCAAAAACUCGCUCGUUUACACCAGCCCUUAAUGUUUAUGUUCUAAUACACGUAGUAAUACAUAUAAUAAUACUAUUUGUAACAGAAAAAAGUACUUGUUUCUUCAGUACAGUGUUCACACAUUAGGGUAUUUGACAAUGGAGAAUGAUAGAAGUAAAGAGUUAGUAAAAUUAA